rnacentral:rRNA from 1 species
GAUGAACGCUGGCGGCGUGCCUAAUACAUGCAAGUCGAGCGAACAGACGAGGAGCUUGCUCCUCUGACGUUAGCGGCGGACGGGUGAGUAACACGUGGAUAACCUACCUAUAAGACUGGGAUAACUUCGGGAAACCGGAGCUAAUACCGGAUAAUAUAUUGAACCGCAUGGUUCAAUAGUGAAAGACGGUUUUGCUGUCACUUAUAGAUGGAUCCGCGCCGCAUUAGCUAGUUGGUAAGGUAACGGCUUACCAAGGCAACGAUGCGUAGCCGACCUGAGAGGGUGAUCGGCCACACUGGAACUGAGACACGGUCCAGACUCCUACGGGAGGCAGCAGUAGGGAAUCUUCCGCAAUGGGCGAAAGCCUGACGGAGCAACGCCGCGUGGGUGAUGAAGGUCUUCGGAUCGUAAAACUCUGUUAUUAGGGAGGAACAAAUGUGUAAGUAACUAUGCACGUCUUGACGGUACCUAAUCAGAAAGCCACGGCUAACUACGUG